rnacentral:rRNA from 1 species
UACGUAGGGGGCAAGCGUUAUCCGGAUUUACUGGGUGUAAAGGGAGCGUAGACGGCAGUGCAAGUCUGAAGUGAAAGGCGGGGGCCCAACCCCCGGACUGCUUUGGAGACUGUGCUGCUGGAGUGCAGGAGAGGCAAGUGGAAUUCCUAGUGUAGCGGUGAAAUGCGUAGAUAUUAGGAGGAACACCAGUGGCGAAGGCGGCUUGCUGGACUGUAACUGACGUUGAGGCUCGAAAGCGUGGGGAGCAAACAGG